CUACGGGAGGCAGCAGUGGGGAAUCUUAGACAAUGGGGGCAACCCUGAUCUAGCCAUGCCGCGUGAGUGAUGAAGGCCUUAGGGUCGUAAAGCUCUUUCGCCUGUGAUGAUAAUGACAGUAGCAGGUAAAGAAACCCCGGCUAACUCCGUGCCAGCAGCCGCGGUAAUACGGAGGGGGUUAGCGUUGUUCGGAAUUACUGGGCGUAAAGCGCGCGUAGGCGGAUUAGAAAGUUGGGGGUGAAAUCCCGGGGCUCAACCCCGGAACUGCCUCCAAAACUGCUAGUCUAGAGUUCGAGAGAGGUGAGUGGAAUUCCGAGUGUAGAGGUGAAAUUCGUAGAUAUUCGGAGGAACACCAGUGGCGAAGGCGGCUCACUGGCUCGAUACUGACGCUGAGGUGCGAAAGUGUGGGGAGCAAACAGGAUUAGAUACCCUGGUGGUCCACACCGUAAACGAUGAAUGCCAGUCGUCGGAUAGUAUACUAUUCGGUGACACACCUAACGGAUUAAGCAUUCCGCCUGGGGAGUACGGUCGCAAGAUUAAAACUCAAAGGAAUGACGG
rnacentral:rRNA from 1 species